UCGAGGAUCUUCGGCAAUGGGCGCAAGCCUGACCGAGCGACGCCGCGUGUGCGAUGAAGGCCUUCGGGUUGUAAAGCACUGUCGUGGGGGAGGAAGCCCGCGAGGGUUGACCUAUCCCUGGAGGAAGCACGGGCUAAGUUCGUGCCAGCAGCCGCGGUAAGACGAACCGUGCAAACGUUAUUCGGAAUCACUGGGCUUAAAGGGCGCGUAGGCGGGUAACCAAGUCCGGGGUGAAAGCCUCCAGCUUAACUGGAGAAGUGCCUCGGAUACUGGUCGUCUCGAGGAGGGUAGGGGCAUCUGGAACUAGCGGUGGAGCGGUGAAAUGCGUUGAUAUCGCUAGGAACUCCGGUGGCGAAGGCGAGGUGCUGGACCCUUUCUGACGCUGAGGCGCGAAAGCCAGGGGAGCGAACGGGAUUAGAUACCCCGGUAGUCCUGGCCCUAAACGAUGAGAACUAGAUAGCGGGAUUGAUAUGGUCUCGCUGUCGGAGCAAAAGUGCUAAGUUCU
rnacentral:rRNA from 1 species